AGUGAACGCUGGCGGCAGGCCUAACACAUGCAAGUCGAACGGCAGCACAGUAAGAGCUUGCUCUUACGGGUGGCGAGUGGCGGACGGGUGAGGAAUACAUCGGAAUCUACUUUUUCGUGGGGGAUAACGUAGGGAAACUUACGCUAAUACCGCAUACGACCUACGGGUGAAAGCAGGGGAUCUUCGGACCUUGCGCGAUUGAAUGAGCCGAUGUCGGAUUAGCUAGUUGGCGGGGUAAAGGCCCACCAAGGCGACGAUCCGUAGCUGGUCUGAGAGGAUGAUCAGCCACACUGGAACUGAGACACGGUCCAGACUCCUACGGGAGGCAGCAGUGGGGAAUAUUGGGCAAUGGGCGCAAGCCUGAUCCAGCCAUACCGCGUGGGUGAAGAAGGCCUUCGGGUUGUAAAGCCCUUUUGUUGGGAAAGAAAAGCAGCAGGUUAAUACCCCGCUGUUCUGACGGUACCCAAAGAAUAAGCACCGGCUAACUUCGUG
rnacentral:rRNA from 1 species